rnacentral:tRNA from 1 species
AAAAAAUUAGUUAAGUUAUUAUAACAUUAGAUUGUCAAGCUAAAAUAAUCAGAUUGAUAUUUUUUU